rnacentral:rRNA from 1 species
UACGAAGGGGGCUAGCGUUGCUCGGAAUCACUGGGCGUAAAGGGUGCGUAGGCGGGUCUUUAAGUCAGGGGUGAAAUCCUGGAGCUCAACUCCAGAACUGCCUUUGAUACUGAAGAUCUUGAGUACGGGAGAGGUGAGUGGAACUGCGAGUGUAGAGGUGAAAUUCGUAGAUAUUCGCAAAGAACACCAGUGGCGAAGGCGGUUCGCUGGCCCGAUACUGACGCUGAGGCACGAAAGCGUGGGGAGCAAACAGG